UACGAAGGGGGCUAGCGUUGUUCGGAAUUACUGGGCGUAAAGCGCGCGCAGGCGGCUAUCCAAGUCAGUGGUGAAAGCCCGGAGCUCAACUCCGGAACUGCCAUUGAAACUGUUUAGCUUGAGGAUGAGAGAGGUGAGUGGAAUUCCCAGUGUAGAGGUGAAAUUCGUAGAUAUUGGGAGGAACACCGGUGGCGAAGGCGGGUCUCUGGGCCGAUACUGACGCUGAGGAGCGAAAGCGUGGGGAGCGAACAGG
rnacentral:rRNA from 1 species